CUACGGGAGGCAGCAGUGGGGAAUAUUGGACAAUGGGCGAAAGCCUGAUCCAGCCAUGCCGCGUGAGUGAUGAAGGCCUUAGGGUUGUAAAGCUCUUUCAGUAGGGAAGAUAAUGACGGUACCUACAGAAGAAGCCCCGGUUAACUUCGUGCCAGCAGCCGCGGUAAUACGAAGGGGGCUAGCGUUGUUCGGAUUUACUGGGCGUAAAGCGCACGUAGGCGGAUCGUUAAGUCGGGGGUGAAAUCCUGGAGCUCAACUCCAGAACUGCCUUCGAUACUGGCGAUCUUGAGUCCGGAAGAGGUGAGUGGAACUCCUAGUGUAGAGGUGGAAUUCGUAGAUAUUAGGAAGAACACCAGUGGCGAAGGCGGCUCACUGGUCCGGUACUGACGCUGAGGUGCGAAAGCGUGGGGAGCAAACAGGAUUAGAAACCCUGGUAGUCC
rnacentral:rRNA from 1 species